UGCAAGUCGAACGAUGAAGCCCUUCGGGGUGGAUUAGUGGCGAACGGGUGAGUAACACGUGGGCAAUCUGCCCUGCACUCUGGGACAAGCCCUGGAAACGGGGUCUAAUACCGGAUAUGACCGUCUUGGGCAUCCUUGAUGGUGUAAAGCUCCGGCGGUGCAGGAUGAGCCCGCGGCCUAUCAGCUUGUUGGUGAGGUAAUGGCUCACCAAGGCGACGACGGGUAGCCGGCCUGAGAGGGCGACCGGCCACACUGGGACUGAGACACGGCCCAGACUCCUACGGGAGGCAGCAGUGGGGAAUAUUGCACAAUGGGCGAAAGCCUGAUGCAGCGACGCCGCGUGAGGGAUGACGGCCUUCGGGUUGUAAACCUCUUUCAGCAGGGAAGAAGCGAGAGUGACGGUACCUGCAGAAGAAGCGCCGGCUAACUACGUGCCAGCAGCCGCGGUAAUACGUAGGGCGCAAGCGUUGUCCGGAAUUAUUGGGCGUAAAGAGCUCGUAGGCGGCUUGUCACGUCGGUUGUGAAAGCCCGGGGCUUAACCCCGGGUCUGCAGUCGAUACGGGCAGGCUAGAGUUCGGUAGGGGAGAUCGGAAUUCCUGGUGUAGCGGUGAAAUGCGCAGAUAUCAGGAGGAACACCGGUGGCGAAGGCGGAUCUCUGGGCCGAUACUGACGCUGAGGAGCG
rnacentral:rRNA from 1 species